GGGUUGUGAGGUUAAGCGACUAAGCGUACACGGUGGAUGCCCUGGCAGUCAGAGGCGAUGAAGGGCGUGCUAAUCUGCGAUAAGCGCCGGUAAGGUGAUAUGAACCGUUAUAACCGGCGAUACCCGAAUGGGGAAACCCAGUGUGAUUCGUCACACUAUCAUUAACUGAAUCCAUAGGUUAAUGAGGCGAACCGGGGGAACUGAAACAUCUAAGUACCCCGAGGAAAAGAAAUCAACCGAGAUUCCCCCAGUAGCGGCGAGCGAACGGGGAGGAGCCCAGAGCCUGAAUCAGCAUGUGUGUUAGUGGAAGCGUCUGGAAAGGCGCGCGAUACAGGGUGACAGCCCCGUACACAAAAGCGCAUGUGCUGUGAGCUCGAUGAGUAGGGCGGGACACGUGGUAUCCUGUCUGAAUAUGGGGGGACCAUCCUCCAAGGCUAAAUACUCCUGACUGACCGAUAGUGAACCAGUACCGUGAGGGAAAGGCGAAAAGAACCCCGGCGAGGGGAGUGAAAAAGAACCUGAAACCGUGUACGUACAAGCAGUGGGAGCCCCACCACUAAGCCAGUGGUGAACUCCACAUCCGCAUCCUUUGCUGAGGAUACGGUUAACGGAGCGAAAGCGACGUUCAACCGCAAAACAAGCAGAGGGGGCUUAGUGGUGGGGUGACUGCGUACCUUUUGUAUAAUGGGUCAGCGACUUAUAUUCUGUAGCAAGGUUAACCGAAUAGGGGAGCCGGAGGGAAACCGAGUCUUAAUUGGGCGUUAAGUUGCAGGGUAUAGACCCGAAACCCGGUGAUCUAGCCAUGGGCAGGUUGAAGGUUGGGUAACACUAACUGGAGGACCGAACCGACUAAUGUUGAAAAAUUAGCGGAUGACCUGUGGCUGGGGGUGAAAGGCCAAUCAAACCGGGAGAUAGCUGGUUCUCCCCGAAAGCUAUUUAGGUAGCGCCUCGUGAAUUCAUCUCCGGGGGUAGAGCACUGUUUCGGCUAGGGGGCCAUCCCGGCUUACCAACCCGAUGCAAACUGCGAAUACCGGAGAAUGUUAUCACGGGAGACACACGGCGGGUGCUAACGUCCGUCGUGAAGAGGGAAACAACCCAGACCGCCAGCUAAGGUCCCAAAGUCAUGGUUAAGUGGGAAACGAUGUGGGAAGGCCCAGACAGCCAGGAUGUUGGCUUAGAAGCAGCCAUCAUUUAAAGAAAGCGUAAUAGCUCACUGGUCGAGUCGGCCUGCGCGGAAGAUGUAACGGGGCUAAACCAUGCACCGAAGCUGCGGCAGCGAACGUAUCACUUAAAGCGAUUCAGCGGGUUACGAUUGACGGAGCGAAGCGACGUCAAAGCGUAUACAAAGUCGAGUCGGUUUAAGGAUACGUUCGUUGGGUAGGGGAGCGUUCUGUAAGCCCGUGAAGGUGGCCUGUGAGGGUUGCUGGAGGUAUCAGAAGUGCGAAUGCUGACAUAAGUAACGAUAAAGCGGGUGAAAAGCCCGCUCGCCGGAAGACCAAGGGUUCCUGUCCAACGUUAAUCGGGGCAGGGUGAGUCGACCCCUAAGGCGAGGCCGAAAGGCGUAGUCGAUGGGAAACGGGUUAAUAUUCCCGUACUUGGUGUUACUGCGAAGGGGGGACGGAGAAGGCUAUGUUGGCCGGGCGACGGUUGUCCCGGUUUAAGCGUGUAGGUGUGUGUUCCAGGUAAAUCCGGUUCACUUUAACACUGAGGCGUGAUGACGAGGCACUACGGUGCUGAAGCAACAAAUGCCCUGCUUCGGAAAAGCCUCUAAGCAUCAGGUAACAUCAAAUCGUACCCCAAACCGACACAGGUGGUCAGGUAGAGAAUACCAAGGCGCUUGAGAGAACUCGGGUGAAGGAACUAGGCAAAAUGGUGCCGUAACUUCGGGAGAAGGCACGCUGACACGUAGGUGAAGUGAUUUACUCACGGAGCUGAAGUCAGUCGAAGAUACCAGCUGGCUGCAACUGUUUAUUAAAAACACAGCACUGUGCAAACACGAAAGUGGACGUAUACGGUGUGACGCCUGCCCGGUGCCGGAAGGUUAAUUGAUGGGGUCAGCGCAAGCGAAGCUCCUGAUCGAAGCCCCGGUAAACGGCGGCCGUAACUAUAACGGUCCUAAGGUAGCGAAAUUCCUUGUCGGGUAAGUUCCGACCUGCACGAAUGGCGUAAUGAUGGCCAGGCUGUCUCCACCCGAGACUCAGUGAAAUUGAACUCGCUGUGAAGAUGCAGUGUACCCGCGGCAAGACGGAAAGACCCCGUGAACCUUUACUAUAGCUUGACACUGAACAUUGAGCCUUGAUGUGUAGGAUAGGUGGGAGGCUUUGAAGUGUGGACGCCAGUCUGCAUGGAGCCGACCUUGAAAUACCACCCUUUAAUGUUUGAUGUUCUAACGUGGACCCGUAAUCCGGGUUGCGGACAGUGUCUGGUGGGUAGUUUGACUGGGGCGGUCUCCUCCUAAAGAGUAACGGAGGAGCACGAAGGUUGGCUAAUCUGGUCGGACAUCAGGAGGUUAGUGCAAUGGCAUAAGCCAGCUUGACUGCGAGCGUGACGGCGCGAGCAGGUGCGAAAGCAGGUCAUAGUGAUCCGGUGGUUCUGAAUGGAAGGGCCAUCGCUCAACGGAUAAAAGGUACUCCGGGGAUAACAGGCUGAUACCGCCCAAGAGUUCAUAUCGACGGCGGUGUUUGGCACCUCGAUGUCGGCUCAUCACAUCCUGGGGCUGAAGUAGGUCCCAAGGGUAUGGCUGUUCGCCAUUUAAAGUGGUACGCGAGCUGGGUUUAGAACGUCGUGAGACAGUUCGGUCCCUAUCUGCCGUGGGCGCUGGAGAACUGAGGGGGGCUGCUCCUAGUACGAGAGGACCGGAGUGGACGCAUCACUGGUGUUCGGGUUGUCAUGCCAAUGGCACUGCCCGGUAGCUAAAUGCGGAAGAGAUAAGUGCUGAAAGCAUCUAAGCACGAAACUUGCCCCGAGAUGAGUUCUCCUGAGACUUAGAGUCUCCUGAAGGAACGUUGAAGACGACGACGUUGAUAGGCCGGGUGUGUAAGCGCAGCGAUGCGUUGAGCUAACCGGUACUAAUGAACCGUGAGGCUUAACCUUACAACGCCGAAG
rnacentral:rRNA from 1 species